UGGAUAUUGAAGGUGGAGAGUUUCAAGUUCUAAAAACAAUCCCCUGGGACAAGGUUGAUAUUCAAGUUUUCAGCAUUGAAACACAUUUUGCAGGGGAGAGAAGUGAAGGAUCAAGGGAGGAUAUAAAAGAAUAUAUGGAAUCCGUGUUUAGCGGAGAGAAGUGAAGGAUCAAGGGAGGAUAUUAUAGAAUAUAUGGAAUCCAUGUUUAGGGGAGAGAAGUGAAGGAUCAAGGGAGGAUAUAAUAGAAUAUAUGGAAUCCGUGUUUAGGGGAGAGAAGUGAAGGAUCAAGGGAGGAUAUUA